CCCUUAGAUGUUCUGGGCCGCACGCGCGCUACACUGACGAUGGCAACGAGUUUUUCCUUCGCCGAAAGGUGAGGGUAAUCUUUUGAAACAUCGUCGUGCUGGGGAUAGAUCAUUGCAAUUUUUGAUCUUGAACGAGGAAUUCCUAGUAAGCGCGAGUCAUCAGCUCGCGUUGAUUACGUCCCUGCCCUUUGUACACACCGCCCGUCGCUACUACCGAUUGAAUGGUUUAGUGAGGACUCCUGAUUGGCGCCGCCGCCCCGGCAACGGAGCAGCGGACUGCCGAAAAGUUGUUCAAACUUGAUCAUUUAGAGGAAGUAAAAGUCGUAACA
rnacentral:rRNA from 1 species